rnacentral:rRNA from 1 species
UACGUAGGGUGCAAGCGUUGUCCGGAAUUAUUGGGCGUAAAGAGCUCGUAGGCGGUUUGUCGCGUCUGCUGUGAAAACUCGGGGCUUAACUCCGGGCCUGCAGUGGGUACGGGCAGACUAGAGUGCGGUAGGGGAGACUGGAAUUCCUGGUGUAGCGGUGAAAUGCGCAGAUAUCAGGAGGAACACCGGUGGCGAAGGCGGGUCUCUGGGCCGUAACUGACGCUGAGGAGCGAAAGCGUGGGAAGCGAACAGG